rnacentral:rRNA from 1 species
UUGACAUCCGGUAUCGGUCCUCGAGAGAUUGAGGACUUCCCGUUCGGGGAGGCCGAGACAGGUGCUGCAUGGCUGUCGUCAGCUCGUGUCGUGAGAUGUUGGGUUAAGUCCCGCAACGAGCGCAACCCCCAUCGUCAGUUGCCAGCAUUCAGUUGGGCACUCUGGCGAAACCGCCGGCGCCAAGCCGGAGGAAGGCGGGGAUGACGUCAAGUCCUCAUGGCCCUUAUGGGCUGGGCUACACACGUGCUACAAUGGCGGUGACAGUGGGACGCGAAACCGCGAGGUGGAGCAAAUCCCCAAAAGCCGUCUCAGUUCGGAUUGCACUCUGCAACUCGAGUGCAUGAAGUUGGAAUCGCUAGUAAUCGCGGAUCAGCACGCCGCGGUGAAUACGUUCCCGGGCCUU